rnacentral:rRNA from 1 species
GACGAACGCUGGCGGCGUGCUUAACACAUGCAAGUCGAACGGAAAGGCCCUGCUUUUGUGGGGUGCUCGAGUGGCGAACGGGUGAGUAACACGUGGGUAACCUGCCCUUGACUUUGGGAUAACUUCAGGAAACUGGGGCUAAUACCGGAUAGGAGCUCCUGCUGCAUGGUGGUGGUUGGAAAGUUUCGGCGGUUGGUGAUGGACUCGCGGCUUAUCAGCUUGUUGGUGGGGUAGUGCCUUACCAAGGCUUUGACGGGUGGCCGGCCUGGGAGGGUGACCGGCCACAUUGGAACUGAGAUACGGCCAAGACUCCUACGGGAGGCAGCAGUGGGGAAUAUUGCACAAUGGGCGGAAGCCUGAUGCAGCAACGCCGCGUGCGGGAUGACGGCCUUCGGGUUGUAAACCGCUUUCGCCUGUGACGAAGCGUGAGUGACGGUAAUGGGUAAAGAAGCACCGGCUAACUACGUG